rnacentral:snRNA from 1 species
GUGCUUGCUUUGGCAGCACAUUUACUAAAAUUGGAACAAUACAGAAAAGAUUAGCAUGGUCCCUGCACAAGGAUGACACACAAAUUUAUGAAGCGUUCCAUAUGUUU